AAAAGUUACAAAAAGGGUCAUAAUCACUUGAGAUCGUCCAUCAGAAGUGUUAACAUAGAUCUCUAUGCCGAUGAGGAUUUGGGCAACACACCUAUGAACGAAGAAGUGAAGGAGGAGAUUGUAGUUUACCUAUUCCAGUGAAGGGCAAGAUAGAGACUUUAAAUCAAGCAUUAGAGGAUUAAAAACAUGGCAAGCUAAGCAUGAUUUACAACAUUAUCGGUCAAAUCCGAAAUGGAAACCUAUAAAGUGUCCUCGUCAAUUGGAUUCGGUUGGGUGUGGGUAUUAUGUCCAAAAGUAUAUACAUGAAAUCGUGCAUAAUUCUAGUACUCCCAUCACUAGCCUUGUAAGUUUCUACUUUCACUUUUUAUAUGUUACAAAUUACAUAAAUUAUCUA